rnacentral:lncRNA from 1 species
UUGUCCAGUAGUCAUUUGUUUUUCCUUCUGUCGGCAAACGAUUCUGUAAUCUUAUAAAGUAAUAAAUUUUCAACAGUUUGAUUCUAUAGUAGAGAUUAUGCAACAUUGAUCUAAGAGACAAAACAAUCUUUGGGAACUAAAUCUUGCAACAUUUUUACUAAGUUAUUAGCUUUUCUUUUGAUGAGCAUGAACUUGUAACAAAGUUUAGGUUCAGCUAGGAGCCUAGGAGGGAGAUAUUUUCAAUAUAUAUAUUGCAUGCAAUAGCUUGAUGGUGUCUCCAUUCUUGAAGCUUAUGAGGGUGAGUGUUGCUGACUAGAGCUGGCAUUUUGAACUCUUUGAAUCUCCACAAAAGUUCUUCUAUCCAUACAAGUCUUAUUAAUCUGCAUUACAGCUUUGUAAGAGCGUAUAUAUGCAUGCUUCCAUCUCUAAGGAUCUUUAAGUGGGCUCUAUAGAGGUUUAUCCCUUGAGAAUAACCAACAUUUAACCACUUGUGGUUUAUAUGACACCGAUGAUCUAUCUACAAACACAACAAGAUGUGUUUGCUUUGACUAUAGCUUCCCGGACUGUUUUUGGGAACCAUAUAUUCUCUCUUCCUCAUUUUACAAUGAGUAAGUAUGAAUGUGAUCUUCUCUGGAUCUGUAGAAGGAAACAGUUUCAGACCACAUGCAUAGUUCCAUCCGUGCUUUACUGCUAAUGUUAGUUUGGGAUGGACCAUCUCUAUCAUUUCUCAAAUUCAUUUUCCAAGUCCUCCAUAUCAAACGAAAGGGAACAACGUAAUAGGAAAGACUGAUGGCUAUAUCAAAGUACAAAUUCUCAAUACUGCCAGCUAGUGACUUAUUUUUAAGUUGCUUACUUGGAGGAUGUUGAGCCGGAGAGAGCUCCCAGCCUCCCAAAUCUCUCUAGAGAGAGCAUUUGGUUACUGUUUUCUCAUUAUUUGUGUUUAUUUUUAGCAAAUGUAUUUGCACUUAAGUAAAACUAAAUAGAGACAUUCAAGGAUUGUGUUAAAAAAAAAAGAGACAUUUAAGGAGAGAAAAUAUAAAUACAUUUUUUGACAUAUACCAUAGUCCUUAACAUAUACCUUACCG